rnacentral:rRNA from 1 species
AAUAUGGUCAAGCUACAAGGGUGUAUGGUGAAUGCCUUGGUGCCAGAAGUCGAUGAAAGACGUGAUAAGCUGCGAUAAGCCGCGGGUAGGAGCAAAUAUCCUGUGAUCCGCGGAUUUCUGAAUGGGGGAACCCCUGCAGGUGAGAGCUUGCAGAUCAUCACUUAAAGACCGAGUCUUCGGACUCGGAGGUAGGGUGAUAGAAGACAACGUAGGGAAGUGAAACAUCUCAGUACCUACAGGAAAAGAAAUCAAAGAGAUUCCCUGAGUAGUGGCGAGCGAAACGGGAAUAGCCUAAACCAGCCCCCGCACUGUAUGCAUCAGUGUGGUGCAUAGAGUGCGUGGGUUGGGGUUGCAGGGCUUGCUCGUGUUAGACACAAAGAGUUACCAAGCAACAGGUUAGUUGAACGGUCUGGAAAGUCCGACCAUAGAGGGUGACAGUCCCUUAAACGAAAACCUAGUUGUCUCUUAGCAAGUACCUAAGUACCACUGGUCACGUGCAAUCCGGUGGGAAUCCGGGGAGACCACUCUCCAAGGCUAAAUACUCUCUGGCAACCGAUAGUGAACCAGUACCGCGAGGGAAAGGCGAAAAGAACCCCGAGAGGGGAGUGAAAUAGAACCUGAAACCGUACAUCUACAAGCUGUCGUAGCACUAUGAUACACUUCGGUGUAUAAUGUGCGACGGCGUGCCUGUUGAAGAAUGAUCCAGCGAGUUAAUGUGCCGAGCAAGGUUAAGGGGUGAAGAGCUCCGCAGCCGUAGUGAAAGCGAGCCCGAACAGGGCGAUUAGUUCGUCAUAUUAGACCCGAAGCCAAGUGAUCUAACCCUGUCCAGGAUGAAGUUCUCGUAACAGAGAAUGGAGGUCCGGAGUGUUAAACGUUGAAAAGUUUCUACAUGAGGUGGGGUUAGGGGUGAAAGGCCAAUCGAACUUGGUGAUAGCUGGUUCUCCCCGAAAUAGCUUUAGGGCUAGCGUUGAAAUUUAACCCGAGGGGGUAAAGCACUGGUAGAUUUAGGGGGAGCGACCCUCCUUCCGAUGUCUGUCAAACUCUGAAUACCUCGGCGAAUAUUUCAGCAGUCAGUUCGUGAGGGAUAAGCUUCACGUGCGAGAGGGAAACAGCCCAGACCGUCAAUUUAGGUCCCAAAAUGUAUGCUAAGUGGUAAAGGAUGUGGAUUUACUUAAACAGCUAGGAGGUUGGCUUAGAAGCAGCCACCCUUUGAAGAGUGCGUAAUAGCUCACUAGUCGAGUGAAUCUGCGCCGAAGAUGACUCGGGGCUAAGCAUACUACCGAAAUUACGGAUUGUACAUUGAUUCGUCUUUGUACAGUGGUAGGGGAGCGUUAUUAGCUGCUGCGAAGGUAUACCGUAAGGAGUGCUGGAGCGCUAAUAAGUGAGAAUGCUGGAAUGAGUAGCGACAAGGAAGGUGAGAAUCCUUCCCGCCGAAAAUCUAAGGUUUCCUUGAGCAACGUUCGUCGGCUCAGGGUCAGUCGGGCCUAAGCUCAGGCCGAAAGGCGUAGGCGAAGGACAUCAGGUUAAUAUUCCUGAACUAUAGUAAGCGCGUCAUAACCUAGGGAGGGACGCAGGAGAGUAAACCAUCUGGCUAUAUGCCAGUUCAAGGCCGUAGGCAUCUUCGGAUAGGCAAAUCCGUCCGGAGGCUAAGUCGAAAACCGAGUACGAGUGAUCGCAAGAUCGCGAAGUGGUCCAAUCACGCUGCCUAGAAAAACUUCGUAGGGAGUUCUUACUAUAACCGUACCGUAAACCGACACAGGUGGAUGGGGUGAAAAUCCUAAGGCGCGCGAGAUAACCAUCGUCAAGGAACUAGGCAAACUAGCUCCGUAACUUCGGAAGAAGGAGUGCCCGAGUACUGGUGCAGCAAUGUAUUGGGAAAGGGUCGCAGUGAAUUGGGCUUCGUGACUGUUUAACAAAAACUUAGGGCUCUGCUGAAAUCUCAAGAUGAUGUAUAGGGCCUGAUGCCUGCCCGGUGCCGGAAGGUCAAGGGGAGUGGUUAGCCGCAAGGCGAAGCUGCGAACUUAAGCCCCGGUAAACGGCGGCGGUAACUAUAACCGUCCUAAGGUAGCGAAAUUCCUUGUCGGGUAAGUUCCGACCUGCACGAAUGGCAUAACAAAGAAGCCGCUGUCUCGACGGUGGGCUCGGCGAAAUUGUGGUUCAAGUGAAGACGCUUGAUGCAUGCAACAAGACGAAAAGACCCUAUGGAGCUUUACUGUAGCUUGUUAUUGGAUUACGGUUUACAUUACGUAGGAUAGCUGGGAGUCUUUGAAACGUUCCUUGAGGGGGGCGUGGAGACAACGGUGAAAUACCAGCUUUUGUGGAUUGUGAUUCUAACCUAUUACCCGUGAAUCCGGGUUGGGGACAGUGGCAGGUGGGCAGUUUGACUGGGGCGGUCGCCUCCUAAAGAGUAACGGAGGCGUUCUAAGGUUCCUUCAGGCCGUAUAGAAAUCGGCCAUUGAGCGCAAAGGUAGAAAGGAGCUUGACUGUGAGGACGACGGUCCGAACAGGUGCGAAAGCAGGACUUAGUGAUCCGGUGGUCCCUCGUGGGAGGGCCAUCGCUCAACGGACAAAAGCUACCCUGGGGAUAACAGGCUGAUCGGGCCCAAGAGUUCACAUCGACGGCUCGGUUUGGCACCUCGAUGUCGGCUCAUCACAUCCUCCCGCUGAAGCAGGUGGGAAGGGUUGGGCUGUUCGCCCAUUAAAGUGGUACGUGAGCUGGGUUCAGUACGUCGUGAGACAGUACGGUCUCUAUCUGUUGUAUGCGCAGGAAACUUGAGAGGAGUUGUCCAUAGUACGAGAGGGCCUGGAUGAACGAACCUCCUGUAUAUCAGUUGUUUCUACAGAAGCAUAGCUGAUUAGCGGUGUUCGGUAGGGAUAAACGCUGAAAGCAUAUAAGCGUGAAACCCGCCUCAAGAUAAGGUUUCCCUGGUAGAUUAACUACCCAGAAGACCCCCGGAAGACUACCGGGUUGAUAGGCAGAGUGUGUAAGCACAGCAAUGUGUUCAGCUAAUCUGUACUAAUAGGUCGUGAGGCUUGGCCAUAU